rnacentral:lncRNA from 1 species
AGAGGUACAUUUUUUCCAAACUGCAGAUAGAGAUAUUCCCGAGAUUCUGCCGAGACCGCAUGCAAUUUAGCCUCAUUGCCUAUCUCGGGCGGUAGUUCCAGAGCUGGAGACUCGUGGCCACAAGACUGUUACAGUGCAGCUAUAUACAUUGCGAUUAUUAUGGGAUACAUCUAUUCAGGCCAAUUUAUAGUUCUCUUCAUGCUCUGUACCAGCCUGUUUACAUGGCCAGCGCUAUGUUACGCUCAGGUUCAAGACGACCUAAUCACUGUGUAUAAUCAAAGCCUACCCAUAUUACUCGACGGCAUAUCCAACUACAAAUCGUAGCGCCUACGCGUCCACGUAUUUGCUUUGGGCAAAGCUGGGUUUUCCAGUAGCUUUGGGCACCAGCAGCAGCUCGGCGCUCCCCAUCGCGGUCGCAAUCCAAUUGGAAUCUUCCAGCAGACUCGUGUCUAUCGGCCACGAAGGCAUCGUCAAAAGUGAGUCGCAUUUCCUUCACAAAACGUUGCACGUACGUAGCCUUACACGGACGUAGUCUUGCUGCUUGCGUUUCAGUCAAGUUUCCAAACUCUCGCGUCUUGCAAUCGACUUUUCCCAGGCCCAUUUACAUUUUUGGUCCCGUCUGAGUCUCUCACAACAAAACCCGCCCACAUGACUCACCAUAACCUGUGCCCCAUCGCCUCGCCCUCGCUUGAUUGGAGGCUUUCCCAAACCCACAACCCGCCCACCUGCCGGACACCGUCCUCCCGCCCGAUCGUCGUCAGCCUGUUGCAACGAAACUGACGGUUGGGAUACGCUGGUGCUCAACUCCUUCAAAUGGCUCGCGGCCGCCAACACGGCCAACCGCAGCACUCUUCGUCUGGCGGCUGCGGCAUCCAUGAAGUGGUGGAGCAACCCCGCGCUAGGCUUCAUCGCACAGGC